rnacentral:rRNA from 1 species
GAUGAACGCUGGCGGUAUGCUUAACACAUGCAAGUCGAACGGACUCUCCGGAGUUUUGGGCGGAUGGGGGUGUAACGCGUGAGAAUCUGGCCUUGGGUUUGGGACAACUACCGGAAAGGGAGGCUAAUGCCGGACGUGCCGAGAGGCAAAAGGGAAAUUUACUGAAGAUGCGCUCGCGUCUGAUUAGCUAGUUGGUGAGAUAAAGGCUCGCCAAGGCAGCGAGCAGUAGCUUGUCUGAGAGGAUGACCGGCCACAGUGGGACUGAGACACAGCCCAGACUCAUCCGGGGGGAAGGGGGGGAGCAUUUCCCGCAAUGGGCGAGAGAGUGACGGAGCAAUACCGCGUGAGAGAAGAAGGCUCUUGGGUUGAAAAGCUCUUUUCUUAGGGAAGGACAGAAUGACGGUACCUAAUGAAUCAGCAACGGCUAACUCCGUG